rnacentral:misc_RNA from 1 species
GGAGGGAUCAUUACCGAGUGAGGGCCCACGGCCCGACCUCCAACCCUUUGUUGACCCAACACCUGUUGCCUCGGGGGCGACCCGGACGCCGACGCGUCGGCCGUCGGGCACCCCGGUGGACCACUCCAACACUGCCAUCUGUGCGUCGGAGUAACCUGAUAAAUCAAUCAAAACUUUCAACAACGGAUCUCUUGGUUCUGGCAUCGAUGAAGAACGCAGCGAAAUGCGAUAAGUAAUGUGAAUUGCAGAAUUCAGUGAAUCAUCGAAUCUUUGAACGCACAUCGCGCCCUUUGGCAUUCCGAGGGGCAUGCCUGUUCGAGCGUCAUUACACCACUCAAGCCUGGCUUGGUAUUGGGCGGCGGGGGCCCCCCGCGCCUUAAUUUCGCCGGCUGGACGACCCGAUUCUCAGCGUUGUGACAUUAAAUUCGCUGGCGAGGAAGGGCGGUCCGCGCCGUUAAAAUUCCUAUUAAAGGUUGACCUCGGAUCAGGUAGGGAUACCCGCUGAACUUAAGCAUAUCAAUAAGCGGAGGAAAAGAAACCAACAGGGAUUGCCCUAGUAACGGCGAGUGAAGCGGCAACAGCUCAAAUUUGAAAUCUGGCGCAAGCCCGAGUUGUAAUUUGUAGAGGAUGCUUCGGGGCAGCGGCCGGUCUAAGUUCCUUGGAACAGGACGUCAGAGAGGGUGAGAGUCCCGUAUGUCGACCGGCUGGCACCCCUUACGUAGCUCCUUCGACGAGUCGAGUUGUUUGGGAAUGCAGCUCUAAAUGGGAGGUAAAUUUCUUCUAAAGCUAAAUACCGGCCAGAGACCGAUAGCGCACAAGUAGAGUGAUCGAAAGAUGAAAAGCACUUUGGAAAGAGAGUUAAAAAGCACGUGAAAUUGUUGAAAGGGAAGCGCUUGCAACCAGACUUGUCGGCGGUGUUCCGCCGGUCUUCUGACCGGUCCACUCGCCGCCGGCAGGCCAGCAUCGUCUGGGGCCGCCGGAUAAAGGCGUUGGGAAUGUGGCUCCCCUCGGGGAGUGUUAUAGCCCUUCGCGCAAUACGGUGCGUCCCGGGCGAGGUCCGCGCUUCGGCUUGGAUGCUGGCGUAAUGGUUGUAAGCGGCCCGUCUUGAAACACGGACCAAGGAGUCUAACAUCUAUGCGAGUGUUCGGGUGCCAAACCCUUGCGCGCAAUGAAAGUGAACGGAGGCGGGAACCGCAAGGUGCACCGUCGACCGAUCCUGAUGUCCUCGGAUGGAUUUGAGUAAGAGCAUAGCUGUUGGGACCCGAAAGAUGGUGAACUAUGCCUGAAUAGGGUGAAGCCAGAGGAAACUCUGGUGGAGGCUCGCAGCGGUUCUGACGUGCAAAUCGAUCGUCAAAUUUGGGUAUAGGGGCGAAAGACUAAUCGAACCAUCUAGUAGCUGGUUCCUGC